ensembl:ncRNA C09H10.11 ncRNA
ACGCCAAAAGCGAAAGUGCGUGCGCCUUUAAGUUUAGUAAACGACACUCCGAAAUUCCGACCGCUGGAACGUCGGUUUUAUUUUAUUUUCUAUUUUUUGCCUGAUUUUUCAACGAAUCAACUGAUUUUUUAAUUGAAAAGCUUGAU